rnacentral:rRNA from 1 species
UAUCUGGUUGAUCCUGCCAGUAGUCAUAUGCUUGUCUCAAAGCUUAAGCCAUGCAAGUCUCAGUGCAAACUUAAUUAAAGUGAAACCGCAAAAAGCUCAUUAAAUCAGUUAUGGUUUACUGGCGCGAAUCCUCUUGUGGAUAACUGUGGUAAUUCUAGAGCUAAUACAUGCAUCAUAUGUCCCGUCCAGUGAUGGUAAGGACGCUUUUAUUAGGUCAAAACCAAUCGGUUCGGCUUGCCCGUUCCGUUUUGCUUUGACGACUCUGGGUAACACAUUAGAUCGCACGGUCCUCGUACCGGCGACGCACCUUUCAAAUGACUGACUUAUCAACUGUCGAUGGUAGACUCUAUGUCUACCAUGGUUGUAACGGGUAACGGGGAAUCAGGGUUCGAUUCCGGAGAGGGAGCCUGAGAAACUGCUACCACAUCCAAGGAAGGCAGCAGGCACGCAAAUUACCCACUCCCGGCACGGGGAGGUAGUGACAAAAAAUAACGAUACGGGACUCAUCCGAGGCCCCGUAAUCGGAAUGAGUACACUUUAAAUCCUUUAACCAGGAUCCAUUGGAGGGCAAGUCUGGUGCCAGCAGCCGCGGUAACUCCAGCUCCAAUAGCGUAUAUUAAAGUUGUUGCGGUUAAAAAGCUCGUAGUUGGUUCUGUGUGCCACGCUGUCGGUUCACCGCCUGCCGGUGCAACUGACAUGCCGUGGGAUGUCUUGCCGGAGGGGGCCGAAGCCCUUCCCUAGUGUUGGGCCCAGGUCUUCGCAAUGCUGCCAGGGUGCUCUUUACCGAGUGUCGGGGCAGGCCGGCAAGAUUACUUUGAACAAAUUAGAGUGCUUAAAGCGGGCCUAAUGUUGCCUAAAUAGUUGUGCAUGGAAUAAUGGAAUAGGACCUUGUUACUGUUUUGUUGGCUUUCGGUGAUCAAGGUAAUGAUCAAUGUGGACAGUCGGGGGCAUUCGUAUUGCGACGUUAGAGGUGAAAUUCUUGGAUCGUCGCAAGACGAACUAGAGCGAAAGCAUUUGCCAAGUAUGUCUUAGUUGAUCAAGAACGAAAGUUAGAGGUUCGAAGGCGAUCAGAUACCGCCCUAGUUCUAACCAUAAACGAUGUCAGCCAGCAAUCCGCCGAUGUUCCUCCGAUGACUCGGCGGGCAACUCCCGGGAAACCAAAGCUUUUGGGUUCCGGGGGAAGUAUGGUUGCAAAGCUGAAACUUAAAGGAAUUGACGGAAGGGCACCACCAGGAGUGGAGCCUGCGGCUUAAUUUGACU